rnacentral:rRNA from 1 species
UACGUAGGGCGCAAGCGUUGUCCGGAAUUAUUGGGCGUAAAGAGCUCGUAGGCGGCCUGUUACGUCUGCUGUGAAAUCCCGGGGCUUAACCCCGGGCGUGCAGUGGAUACGGGCAGGCUGGAGGCAGGCAGGGGAGAACGGAAUUCCCGGUGUAGCGGUGAAAUGCGUAGAGAUCGGAAAGAACACCAACGGCGAAAGCACUCUGCUGGGCCGACACUGACACUGAGAGACGAAAGCUAGGGGAGCGAAUGGG